AGAAAAAUGACUACACUUUUUCUUACAUUCGAAUAUCCAUGUAUCAAGUGUCCUCUUUAAUUAAUAUUUUCAUAACUAAUGGUUUAAUUCAAUGACGGACCUACAGCUGGGCUAAAGGGGGCUUUAACCCGGACUAACCCAUUCAUGGCCGUGGGACCUUUUGAAUGCAUAUGUGGGUUUUCAAAAAACUAUCACCAACAUCCAGCUUCUUCAUAAUCCAGGCACAUAAACCAGACUCUAAACUUCUGCCUUAGGGGGUCAAGGUUGCAGAUUUUCCUCUAGGGUUCUGCUACUAAUCAUGUUGGUAACGACCCAUUUGAGGCCAGACUCUAAUCUGGUAGCUGUGUUAAUGCCUUACUGGUAACACUCUUUUGGAAUCAUGUGCAUUGACAGUGAUUAA